rnacentral:lncRNA from 1 species
CAGACACCCUUUUCUGCAUCUACAUAUACAGCGUCAAUCAGGGAAAAAAUAUUCAGACUCAAUCAAGUUCAUCGAAGCCUUAGCUUGCCAGCUGUGUUCUUGAUCCACUCCUCUAAGAGAUCAUCAUAUCGAAAAUGGCUCUCCUUUCCCAGGCCUCUGGUUUGUGGUGCAAGAUGCACAGAGAAGGUGACGAUGAUGAUGCAUAUACGAUGAUGAUGCAUAUACUUAUGUCCCGUGUGUACAAGGUCGUGACGGAGAUUAUGAUUAUGCUCCUGCUGCAUCUGAGGGCGACGAUGAUGAUGAUGGUGGUUAUGAUUAUGCUCCUGCUGCAUAAGUACUAAGGAAAGAGUAGUAUCUAACAAAUUGUAUCGGCAUGCAAAAUGUAUUCUAUCUAAUUUUAUAUGUUGGGAUAAGAGAUUAGAGUAAUAUUUUCGCUUAAUACAUAGGUUUAUGUUGACUCAGGUCUUGGGUCGUGAAUCCGAUUAAUAUAUGACUAGCUCUCCGGAGUUUUCGAACAGAGAAAGUGUUUGUAUGGCGUUUUGUUGGACUUUCAGCAUAUUAUAAUGAGAUAUUAUGCAAUCUUUCUAUGUUUUUAUAUGGAGUGUUAUGGUAGUUUAAGUUAACUGAGUCUUUUACGGACUAUAAAAGACAAGCACUAGGUAAUUAAGCCUCUAGUUUGACAUCCACAUCCUCCAACAUUCAUGGACUCUGCGAAUGAGUUGUCAAGCCAAAUGGAACCAGUGUAAAACAAUUACGUGUUGGGGUGCCCAGCAUCUCCCUAGCUCGAACCGUGGUGCUCACUACUACACUAUAAAGUAUAAAGGCAUAGUGGCGCCAUCUCCAAUAAGUAGCUGCUUUUCGUGUAGUGGUUAGCGUUAGGAUCCUAAAAUUUCGUACCCGAAUUGCACAAUUUAAUUGAGAUAGAAAGUGAACCUGAUGAUGAUAAGUUAGUAGAGGCUGUUUUCAGUCUAGUGGUAGCUGGGGGCCUAAUGCAGUUUAAAGAACCUGAAUUUACGUAGUCAUCAAGUGUCCAUGGAGAAAUUUAGUGCAGUGAUCAUAUCACUGCUGAUUUACAUGUGUAUAGCUCAGAGGAUAAUAUCAUAUCAGAGGCUAACUGUUAUGAUUUUAUUUAUUGGAAUGAGCAAUGGAAUUUCAGAAACCCUCUCUGCGGAUUAGGGGACUCUUUGCAAGGCCAAAUGACUACUGAUGGAGAGAUGACGAGUACAAUUCUGUCAAGCAUCGAUGAAACAUAUUUUCCAGUAUCACAAUGAACGAGGCUCUGAAAUCAUGUUUGGAACCGGUCAUCUAAAACAUUGAGGUAGUAAGGAAGACCCCAAAUGACUAUUAUGUUAUAUUUCAAUGGUAUAUAAAUAUCAUGCAGUGAUACUCAUCGUCAAACAAGCACGAGUCAUGACAAGGCAAGUUUAGAAUAUAAACAAAAAAUUAAUCAUUACAAGUACCAAAAAAAACCAAGCUAAUUGCACCAGGCCUCCUGGAAGCUAGUCUUUAGCAAGUUAUUUAGUUAUUGAAACAAAGAAAGCUAAUUGCAGACCAAAUGACUACUAACAGAGAUGACGAGUACAGUUCUGUCAAGCAUCGAUGGGAAAUAUUUUCCAGUAUCGCAAUGAGCGAUUGACAGAACUAAAUUGUUUUCGGUGUCCAACAACUUUUGUCGGUAUAAACUUGCUUUCGUUUCGUGUUUUUAAUAAAUUAUGAGAAUAUUGGUAAGGAGUUGAAUCACAGUCUCCUGUGAAUCCCGGCUUUGAUAUCACAUUAAGAACAGAUCUAUCUAAAAUUUUAAAAUAUCAGAGGAAGGUCCGAACAGAUCUUAUACUACUCCCUCUGUUUUUUAUAUGACGCUUUGAUUUUUUCACACUUUGACCGGGUAGUUAAAAAUAUUAUUUUUAAAAUUUUCUUUUUCUGAAUAAUAAUAUAUAAUCAAAAUUUUUAUUCAAAAAAUAAUAUUUUUAACUACCCGAUCAAAGCACUUAAAAGUGUGCACCAAAAAUCAAAGCGUUGUAUAAAAAAAAACAAAAGGAGUAUAUUCCAAUUAAUAUAUGGGCACAGAUUGAGAACAUUUAAUGUGCCUAGUUUUCUCUAGAUAAUGCACAUUACUCCCUCCGUCUCAAUUUAUAGGUCUAUUUUGGAAUAAACACACAUAUUAAGGAAAAAUGUUGGUUAGAUAGAAUCUUAUCUCAUGUAUCAUUAAUUAGUGCAUUGAUAAGUGAGAAUAUAGUUGAGUUUCAAAAAAAUCACAAUAAAUAUAGAGAUUUAGUGCAUUGAGAAAUGAGAAAAUGUUGAGUUUCAAAAAAAUCACAAUUAAUAUAUAGAUAAAUUUGUAUUGAAAGAAGUGAGGGACAAGUAUUUUGGGACAAUUUUUUUUCCCAAAAUGGACCUAUAAAUUGAGACGGAGGGAGUAUCACACACCAUGUAUCAAUUACUAAAUAGGAAUUCAAAUGUUCACAUUUAUUAAGUAAGUUUUAUAUUUUAUUUACUCUUAUAUUAUAUUAUCAUUAUAUUUUUUUAAUAAUAUUGAAUAAAAAAAUCAUAAAUUUAUUAUUAAAUAUUAAAUUAGCUAGUUUUAGUUAGAAGGCUGAUUUUAAUUAGAAUAUUAGUGUGCAUGUAGGGGGGCCUCGUUAUAAUUUGUUGGAUGAAAUUAAUUAAAAUUUUCAUAUAAAAUUUGAUUAAAAAAUUAUUCUAUAUUAUCUGACUUUUUUAAAAUAAAAUAAUAUUUUGUUAUAAAUAUAAAUUUUGAAGGAUAAAUCAAAAGUAAAUAUAUACUCCCUUUGUUUUAUUUUAUAUGACGUUUUGACUUUUGGCACACACUUUUAAGUGUUUUGACGGGGUAGUCAAAAAUAUUAUUUUUUAAAUUUUAUUUUUCUAGAGUAAUAAUAUAUAAUCAAAAUUUUUAUUUAGAAAAAUAAAAUUUUAAAAAUAAUAUUUUUAACUACCCGGUCAAAGCACUUAAAAGUGUGUGCCGAAAGUCAAAACGGUCAUAUAAAAAAAUUGGAAGGAGUAGUUAGUAUUUAUUAAAAUUUUGACUAAUUUCAUACAAAUACAUUAUACUCAUGCAAACUGAUGGAUAUUUAAUGAUAGCUAUUAUGAUUUAUCCUAGGGCAGUGGUUCCUGCAAGUAUGCGGUGAUACUCAUCGUCAAACAAGUACAAGUCAUGACAAGGCAAGUUUAGAAUAUAAACAAGAUCUUAACAAGUACCAACAAAGACCAAGCUAAUUGCACCAGGCCUCCUGGAAGCUAGUCUUAGCAAGUUAUUUUCUUAUUGAAACGAAGAAAACUAAUAGCAUCAAGCUUCCAGUAACGCUUCCAGUAAGAAGGCUUCCUAGCUUUCUUUUGAUAAUUAUCACCACUUGGACUCCCAUAUCUAAAAGCCAAAGGCAUUUUUCAUAUAUUCGAUUUUCAAUUGUCGCCACAAAGUAGAAAGAUCUUCACUUUCUCAGCUAGGCCCCAACUGCCCCCAUGCAUAUAUAGGCGCAGAUCUGUUUAUACUUUUAACAUCUGUGUUGACAUGUUAUUCCAAAAUGCCUAUUUGGCUUCGCAACAGAUGAUACCAUGUUGUUGCAUCCGCUUAUACACAUCCUGCAGCCGUUGUUCCACACUCUUCUUGUGCUGGACUUGUGGACUCAACUUUAGCAUCUUCUUUCACCAUUAAAUUUCCAACGUGGAAUAGCAAUAUUGUGUCACACAAGUACAUGCAAGGGUGGAUCUAGUAAGAGGCACGUGUGCUCUUUGACUUUUUUUUAAACAUGUUUUGACCGUUCUUAAUUUUACAAAAUUAUAUAAUUGCCCAUACAAAAUUUGAAAAUGUACAGGUGUUUUUCGAAAAUGUGUUUUGUAUCCCAGUAAAGAAAAUAAUCUUAGAUCCUUCACUCAGUACACGCAUUAGGUUUCCACGGCCCUCCAGACAUUUACCCACGUCCGCCCUGUGCCGAACUCGAGGAAAUAAACCUAAAACACUCGCAAGCUUUUCACAUCUAUAUAAACAGCUUCAUUCACUUCCAAAAUAUUCAAACUCAACCACAUUCAUCAUUAACAAUUUCAUACCCUAGCUAGCUUGCUAGUGUUCGUCCACUCCUCAGAGAGAUCGUAUUGAAAAUGGCUCUGGUUUCCAAGGCCUCUGGUCUGCGGUGCAAGAUGCACAAAGAAGGUGAUGAUGAUGAUGCAUAUACUUAUGUCCCCUGUGUUCAUGGUGGUGGUGAUGACGAUGAUGGAGAUUAUGAUUAUGCUCCUGCUGCGUCUGAGGGUGACGAUGAUGACGAUGGUGGUUAUGAUUAUGCUCCUGCUGCUUAAGUAAUAAGGGAAGAGUAGUAGUAGUAUCCGACAAAUUACGUGUCUGCACCUCAUGCAUAUCGGUAUGCAUGUAUCUAAGCUAAUUUUUUAUGUUGCGAAUAGAGAUCUUAUGAGAGAAAUAUUUUUGCCUCAUGUGGAUCCGAUUAAUAUAUGACAAUGAUCUGAAUUUUAUAUGCCAGUAAAAGUGCUUCUAUGUCGUUUUGUUGUGCCUUGUGCAUUUUAUAAUGAGCUAUUAAUAAAUCUUUCUACUGAUUAUUAAAGACAAGCAAUAAGUAAUUAGGUCUCAAACUUGACAUCAACCC